AUGGGCUUACAAAUACAAACAGUAGGAAACCGAACGCAGUCACCAAGGCUCUUGGCGAUCCCUAAAAAACACACAAGGCUCUUGCGUGCUUUCCGACCUAUCCGCCGAUCGCCGCCGCAGUCGCCCCGAUCGAUCCAGCAGGAGUUCAGGGCUGAGGAUCUGGGCAUGGGGCCGCCGCGUAAGCGGGCGGAGGAGGAUAUGGAGGUGGACGAGGACAACGCCGACGAUGUCCGUGCCGGCGCGCUUGCCAUGGGGGAGGAGCGCGAACUCGGGAACAUGAGGAAGAGGGGACCGGAGGCCGAGGAGGAGGGCGACGAACUGUACACCUUCCCGGUGGAUAAUCGGUCCGGCAAGCUUGCCAAGUGGAACACGUGGGAGAAGAAGGUGGAGGCGAGCAGGUUGGAGGAGCUCGUGAGGAGGCGCAUGGACGGAGGCCGUCGUUUCGAUGGCGCACCAGCCGCCGCCGCCACCGCCGUCGACACCGCGUGGCUGCGUUCACCAAUUAGACCAGCGCAAAUUUAG
rnacentral:rRNA from 1 species